rnacentral:misc_RNA from 1 species
AUGGAGAUUAUUCAUUUAGCAACUUCGGAGGUCAACAGCAAGAGCAAAGUGGAUUCGGAAGCCAAAGCGGCUUUGGAAAUAACCAGGGAAGCCAGGGAGGCUUUGGUGGAAAUCAAGGUGGAUUCUCAGGAUCCCCACAGCAGGGAGGUUUCGGAGGACGCACCGGAUCACCACCACCAUUCGGAGGAUUCUCAGGAGCUCCACAAGGAUUCGGAGGCAAUCAGGGAGGAUUCGGUGGACAGACUGGAUUCUCCGGAGCCCCACAAGGAUUCGGUAACAACCAACAAGGCGGAUUCGGUGGAAACCAAGGAAACCAGGGAGGAUUCGGUGGACGCACCGGAUCACCACCACCAUUCGGAGGAUUCUCAGGAGCUCCACAAGGAUUCGGAGGCAAUCAGGGAGGAUUCGGUGGACAGACUGGAUUCUCCGAAGCCCCACAAGGAUUCGGUAACAACCAACAAGGCGGAUUCGGUGGAAACCAAGGAAACCAGGGAGGAUUCGGUGGACAAAACGGACAAAACGGACAGAACACCGGAAACAAUGGAGGAUUCGGUGGAAACCAAGGUGUAACUGCUAGCGGAUUCGGAGGCCAACAGCAAGGAUUCGGUCAACAACAGCAAACACAGAACGGAUUCCGAGGAAAACGUCAAGCUCCACCAGCUGGAUCACCACCACCACCUCCUCCACCAAAAGGAUCUCCACCACUAGCUGGAUCUGGAUCCCCACCUCCACCACCAGCGGCUGGCUCACCACCACCGCCACGGACCGGAUCUCCUCCACCACCACCAACCGGUUCUCCCCCACCACCGCCAGCUGGAGGUUCCCCACCACCACCAAGAGCCGGCUCCCCUCCACCACCACCACCACCAAGAGGAUCUCCUCCAACAGGAUCUCUUCCACCACCACAAGCCGGAGGAUCACCCCCACCAGCUGGAACUGGAUCCCCUCCACCACCACCACGUCAAAAGCGUCAGGCUCCUGAAAGAUCACCACCAACUGGAUCUCCUCCAACUGGAAGCCCACCUACAGGCCGCCCACCACGUGGAGGACCAGGAAAGUCUAGCGAAGAGUCGUCGGAAUCCCGUGAAGGACCACGUGGAGGACCACGCGGAGGACCACGCGGUGGACCAAGAAAAUCCAGCGAAGAGUCAUCAGAGUCUCGUGAAGAACCAAGAGGUCCACGAAGAUCUCCACCAACCGGAAGCCCACCAACAGGAUCUCCUCCAACUGGACGUCCACCACGUGGAUCUCCACCAACUGGAUCCCCUCCAACCGGCCUUCCAUCUCGCCAGAAACGUCAGGCUCCAGAAGACCGACCAACCGGAUCGCCACCAACUGGAUCACCACCAACAGGACGUCCACAUCGUGGAGGACCAGGAAAAUCUGAGUCGUCUGAAUCCCGUGAAGGACCAAGAGGACCACGUAGAUCACCACCAACUGGAUCGCCACCAACUGGAAGCCCACCAACCGGUGCCCCACCAAAGAAGGGAUUCUUCGCUUCUCUUUUUGAUUUCUAA